GUGAGUAACCUGCCCUUGACUCUGGGAUAAGCCUGGGAAACUGGGUCUAAUACCGGAUACGACCGCUCACCGCAUGGUGUGGUGGUGGAAAGCUUUUGCGGUUUUGGAUGGACUCGCGGCCUAUCAGCUUGUUGGUGGGGUAAUGGCCUACCAAGGCGACGACGGGUAGCCGGCCUGAGAGGGUGACCGGCCACACUGGGACUGAGACACGGCCCAGACUCCUACGGGAGGCAGCAGUGGGGAAUAUUGCACAAUGGGCGAAAGCCUGAUGCAGCGACGCCGCGUGAGGGAUGACGGCCUUCGGGUUGUAAACCUCUUUCAGUAGGGAAGAAGCGAAAGUGACGGUACCUGCAGAAGAAGCGCCGGCUAACUACGUGCCAGCAGCCGCGGUAAUACGUAGGGCGCAAGCGUUAUCCGGAAUUAUUGGGCGUAAAGAGCUCGUAGGCGGUUUGUCGCGUCUGCUGUGAAAGACCGGGGCUCAACUCCGGUUCUGCAGUGGGUACGGGCAGACUAGAGUGAUGUAGGGGAGACUGGAAUUCCUGGUGUAGCGGUGAAAUGCGCAGAUAUCAGGAGGAACACCGAUGGCGAAGGCAGGUCUCUGGGCAUUAACUGACGCUGAGGAGCGAAAGCAUGGGGAGCGAACAGGAUUAGAUACCCUGGUAGUCCAUGCCGUAAACGUUGGGCACUAGGUGUGGGGGACAUUCCACGUUUUCCGCGCCGUAGCUAACGCAUUAAGUGCCCCGCCUGGGGAGUACGGCCGCAAGGCUAAAACUCAAAGGAAUUGACGGGGGCCCGCACAAGCGGCGGAGCAUGCGGAUUAAUUCGAUGCAACGCGAAGAACCUUACCAAGGCUUGACAUGAACCGGUAACGCCUGGAAACAGGUGCCCCGCUUGCGGUCGGUUUACAGGUGGUGCAUGGUUGUCGUCAGCUCGUGUCGUGAGAUGUUGGGUUAAGUCCCGCAACGAGCGCAACCCUCGUUCUAUGUUGCCAGCGCGUGAUGGCGGGGACUCAUAGGAGACUGCCGGGGUCAACUCGGAGGAAGGUGGGGACGACGUCAAAUCAUCAUGCCCCUUAUGUCUUGGGCUUCACGCAUGCUACAAUGGCCGGUACAAAGGGUUGCGAUACUGUGAGGUGGAGCUAAUCCCAAAAAGCCGGUCUCAGUUCGGAUUGGGGUCUGCAACUCGACCCCAUGAAGUCGGAGUCGCUAGUAAUCGCAGAUCAGCAACGCUGCGGUGAAUACGUUCCCGGGCCUUGUACACACCGCCC
rnacentral:rRNA from 1 species